UCACUGCUCGAAGCAGUACUUCAACUGUUUUCACGGCUUAUAAGAUCCGUCGCUGAGCCGGUGAAGAAGAAGAAGCGGAGAACCGCAUUCCGGUCCCGGGUCGGGUCACUUCUCCGGCAACUCUCAUCGUGGCAUCAUCUUUCGAAACUUUGAGUUUUAACCGGGAGUGGACCAUGAGCAAGCAGUAGUUAUAACCGUUGGAGUUGAAGGUGCCCUGGUCAUUUUAGUGUUUUGACCUGCCUUUGAGGCUUCUGUAUUUCAACUAGAUCACUGGGCUUGAAGUUCCACAUGGUGUUCUUUUUUUGCUGUUGGUGACGCUGAAGCAUCCUUCAUCAGUUUGGCGGCUAGGUGAGCAAUAUCUUCAGUCUCUUCAAAUUCUGUAUAAUUUCUGUUAUUGUUCUCAAUAAAAAGACAUCUAAAACCUA